CGUUUGAACCUAUGACCUUGGGUAUCCCUCACCGGGGGUCACAGGUUCAAAUCCU
rnacentral:precursor_RNA from 1 species